CUUGCUGCUUCUUGAAUUGAUUUUUCAACAUUUAAAUCAUCAAAAUUUGAUAAAUUAAUUGUUGGGAUUGAUUCUUGAUUGUCAAUUUGAGACUUGUUUAGUCUUUGUUCUUUUGGUUGAAUGCAUUGAUUUGGGAUAAUUUCAAGGUUUGUGUCUACUAGGCCUUUUAGUCCAUUUGCUUUCUUGAUUACAAAAUCAAGUAUGUCAUCAUUUGGUUCAAAUUUUGAAGAAGACAUUUGUGUUGAAUCUUGAUGAGUGUGUACUAGUGGAAGAAGGAAAUUUGAGGUUUUUUUAAUGGUGGAUUUGAGGGGGUGUGUUGGGGGGGCGGGGGAGAAGGGGGGUUUGCUAUGGAAUGAUUUAAGAUUGAAUCAUUACUUCAUCUAGCAACGAGGGGGUUGUGAUGGAGUGCUAAAUAUUUUUUCAUUUUUAAUCAAAUAUUUUGGAUUCAAUUUUUUCUGAAUAUAGAGUGUUUUACCUCUCAGUAUGAGACUUUUCAAUGUAAAUUCAAAUUUAUUUGGAUUCAGUUUAUCAUAAAAUUUAUUUUCAUAGCUAUUUGAAAAUCGAUGAGGUGGCUUUUUGGUAUCAUAUAAAUGAAUUGUGGUUGGUUUGAAUAACAUUCACAUCCUUUUGAAAUUCGUGCUCUCUAUUAUAUCCAUAAAAAAAUAUCAGUAAAAAUAGUAAUAUUAUAAUUUAAUACUUUAUUUUGCUUUUAAUAUUAUAAUUUUAUAGCUAUAAAUUAUUAUGACAAUUCAGAAGAUUUGCUUGGGAUAUAUACCGAAUGUGUAUUAUUAUUUUUUGGAAUAAGUUUUUGAAAGUCUUAUAAAAGCAGUACCACUUAAAUCUGUUAGAAGGAAAAAUUUCAUAUGCUUGAGUACAUUUCCUUAUACAUUACUAAAUCUUCUUCAUGCUUGUGUUCUUCGUUUGCUAGAAAAUGGGUCCAUUAAUUUGCCUCUCUCCAGACGUAUUAGAUAGUGUCAAAUGUGAAAAAGUUAAAUUUCACCAAAUGCUCAAAAUUCAAGAAAUGUGAAAUUAUACACUAAUUUAUAAUGAGUAAAAGGCCAAAAACUGCAUUUUAAAAUAUAUCAACACUGUUUAUUAACGAGUUGAGCUAGUAAAUAAAUGGAUCAAUGAUCAGGUUAAACUUGGAUGGAUUUGAUGGAUCAUAUUUUCAUGACUAAGUUUUUGUUGUUAGGGUGAACUUUAGUAGAAUUUACGUAGUAUUUGAUAGUCAAAACUCGACAUUUGAUACUAGUUUUCGUAUUGAGAGACUACCUAUCACAAUCUUUGAUGAUUGGGGGGUUUCGUCACCCUAUAUUGAUACCAGUCUUAGGAGUGAAAGUAAAUUCAUUCCAAACUCGAAAUCUAUAGUUGAUGAUGGAGAUAGUUACUACCGGUCACAAUCUUAGAAAAUGAUAAGCGGCAUUUAAGUAGGUGUCCCCCCCCCCCCCCUCCUCAUUUUGUAUUCAGUAUCCUCUUCAAAACUGAAUGUAAAUUUAUUUCUAAAUUCGAGAUCUCUAAUUGAAGGCGGAUUUAGCAAGGGCCCCCCCCCCCCCCCUCCUCAUUUUGUAUUCAGUAUCCUCUUCAAAACUGAAUGUAAAUUUAUUUCUAAAUUCGAGAUCUCUAAUUGAAGGCGGAGAUAAUUACUACCCAUCACGAGUACAUGUUUUUUCUUAUUGUAUAUUCGGUAUCCACUUUUAAGAAAAUACAUUUUUUAAAUUAUAGAGUUCAAAUUUAAAAUUGUCAUAGUGUUACACACCAACAAUUCAAUGAAUGAACUUACAUUAUUCAGUGCGGACUCAAAAUUUUAUAUAAGUGAGUUCAACCAUAGGAUGAUCGUCGAUAGUGUAAGCAACAUCAAGCACAACAAAUGAUUUGCUCUUUGUGCUUUUAUUUAUUCUUUUUUUAAUAAUUUAAUAUCAAAAUAAGAUAUAUAGUUUUUUUUAGAAAAACUCGGCACUUUUUAAUUAUUUAACAAAGUUGAGGAAUUUAUUUUAAAAAAAAUCUAUUUACAUUUAAAAAAACAAAAAACAAAAAACAAAAUUAGAGUUAACUAAGAAACUAUAUAUAAUCUCAUCAAAAUAACAAAUUAUAGCAAAAAACUAAGAAAGACACUACAAAAAUUCAAUUAUAAAUGAUUAAAUGUUUUUAGAAGUAAAACAGAUUUAAGAUUUUUAUCGAGUUUGAGUAAGAAGACAAAAUAUACAACAUAAAAUUUAAAAAUAAAAUAAAAUAUAUUGGUGAUAAAUUUAUUAGUGACUAGCAUAUUGAAUAUGAUUGGUCAAUUUUUUUUAUAGGCCAAUUUGGCUACUGAAUAUGAAUACACAGUGAUAUUGAACCAAAAGCAGUAACAUGCCACACUUUGUUCAUUGUGGGUUUAAAUAUAUAAUUAUACUAAUUUAACAUUAAUUCUCCUUAUAUAAAUAAUAAAUUUUCCAACCGAGUGGGUUCAACAUGUGGGUCCACCCCUGACAUUAUUACAUUGAAAAAAAAAUAUGGGGGAAAGUUAUUAUAAACAAAAAGUAGGAUGAAGGGCAAAAUAAGAUUAUGAAAUCAUUAGAACAAAAUAAGAUAACAAUACAAUCACACAAACUCACCGGUUACAUAAAGAAAUACUUUUUGACAUUGCAUAACAAAGAAAUUUGUGAAUUAAAACAUCAAAUUUUAGCAAAAUCUAGUGAUGCUUUACCAGAGGGCCUCUUACUGAAGUAAUGAUCCCAAUAAUCAGAGAACAAAACAUGUUUGUACAUUGAUUUUUCUCCAUCUUUGAGUAUUUGUGGGAAUGGACCAAUGACACUAUCAGGGCUAGGAUUCACAAAUAGCGGUACAGAUAUUCGAGCCCUGCUAGAAUCAACUGCUACACAAUGCUCGAUACUUUUGUAUCGAUCGUUGCUCAUGAUCUGCAACGAGUUACCUAUGUUAACCGCCAAGGCACCUUUGAUAGGAUUUACGUGAAUCCAGUUAUCACCUUUAGUCCCUUGGACAUAUAGGCCUCCCGUGUCGUCCUGGAGGAGCAGAGUUAUGCAGGACAUGUCGCAGUGUCUACGAAAACCAAUGGCGAUACUUGGAUUUGGACAAGGUGGAUAGUAGUUUAUAUUGAUAGCCAUAGUUCCCAUCAAGAGAGGUUCUAAAGAUUCAUCAAUUUCAUUGACAUUGAGACCCUUCAAUAGCACCUCAAGCAAUUUUUUAGCAAGUGGUGUAGCCCACUUUUGAUACUCCAAGACUUGAUUCCUGUAAAACAGUAUCAAAGUCAGAAAUUUCACUAAGAGUGUUCAAAAUUUAAUGGUAAGAUCAAGAAUUUUGCUAAUAAUGUUCAAGAUUCAAUGUCAAAGUCAUAAAUUUUUCUAAGAAUGUUUCAAGAGUCUAUAAAAACAACCUCUUUAUGUAGUAAAGAUAGAGGUAAAGUCUACGUAUAUCCUACCCUCUCCAUACUCUACUUGUGAGAUUAUAGUGGAUAUGUAAUUGUAAAAAAGAUAUAUGUACACCGUUAUAAAAAAAGUCUUGAGAUAAUGAUAAAAAACACAUCUGAAGUAUCACGUUUUCACGAGUUUUCUUUCCUAUAUGGACUAUCAUCAAAAUUACUUUGCCAUUUGGACAAAAUUCUAUGGGCAAAUUAAGUUGUGACGCACUGUAUUCAAACACUUGAUCUAGUCAGUUUUGGAAUGUGUUUUGAUAAAUAGUUGGUGAUAGUUCAGAAACACAAACACCUUAUAGUAAAAGAUAUGAAACUCGCAAAAGUAAUACUUGGAAACUUGUGACCUAUAAAUUACAUGGAGCAGAAAACCCCAAAAAGUUACCUUGUUUGAGGAGGCCAAAGAUUGCUAUCAUUUUGUGGAUUACAACUAUGUCUUAUACCAUCCCUCCACUCUAAAACUUUUUCAUCUUUCUCACCAAUAGCACUCCAAAACAUCAACACAGAUUCACUAGCAUUAUAGCUCUCUUUGUUAUACUUAACUUUUUCUUCAGAUGGCAAUUCAAAGAAUUUGUGUCCUGCUUCCUUUAAAUCAUCAAGAACUUCAAUUGGGAUGCCAUGAUUGAUGAUUUGGAAGAAACCCCACUUGCUUGCGGCAUCUUGAAUUGAUUUUUCAACACUUAAAUCAUCAAAAUUUGAUAUAUCAAUUGUUGGGAUUGAUUCUUGAUUGUCAAUUUGAGAUUUUUCUAGUCUUUGGUCUUUUGGUUGAAUACAUUGAUUUGGGAUAUUUUCAAGGCCUGUGUCUACUAGACCUUUUAGUCCAUUUGCUUUCUUGAUUACAAAAUUAAGUAUGUCAUCAUUUGGUUCAAAUUUUGAUGAAGGCAUUUGUGUUGAAUCUUGAUGAGUGUGUACUAAUGAAAGAAAGAAAUUUGGGGUUUUUUUUAGCUGUGGGUUUGAGAGGGGUGUGUAUGGGGGGAGAGGAAAGAAGGGGAGUGGACUAUGAAAUGAUGAAAGAUUGAAUCAUUACUUUAACAUCGAUGGGUUAUUAUAAAGUGGUAAAUACUUUUUCGUCUUUAAUCAGAUGUUUUAGAUUCAAAUUUCCUGAAUACAAAAUUGACUUAUUUAAAAAACAUCCUCUUAAUAUGAGACUUUUUGGUGCGAAUUCAAAUUUCAUUGGACUCAAUAUGAAUAUCAAACCUCCGAUGAUAAAAAAAUAAAUAUUAUUCCUUCUUCUAUUAUUUCAAGGGAGGGUGGGGCAAAAGGGGGCUGGCUAUGAAAUGAUGGAAGAUUGAAUCAUACUUUCAUCUAGCAACGAGAGAUUAUAGUGAAGUGGUAAAUAUUUUUCAUUUUUAAUCAAAUGUCUUGUAUUCGAAUUUUUCCAAAUACAAUAUUGUUCUUAUUAGAGAUUGUUUUACUUUUCAAUAUAAGACUUUUCGGUGCAAAUUCAAUUUUAGUUAGACUCAAUAUGAAUAUCAAAUAUCGAAUGAUUAAUCUAUUAUUUGAAGGUAGUAGGGAUGGGAUAUGUGGAUGAUAUAUUAAUGACCUAAACAAAAUUCUUGAAUUGGUUUUUUAUUUAGUAUUUUGAAUUUUUAUUUUUUAUUUAAUCAAACAUCAUUAUCAUAAAAUAGCUAUUUGGAAAUUGGUGAGGUGGCUUCUUGAUGUCCAUGGGUGAAUUGUGGUUCGUAGAUAACAUCCAAAACUUUUUUUGUCGGUUGUUAUGAAUGAUGAAUUUUGUAUAUUAUAUCCAUAAAAAUUAUCAGUAAAAAUAGAUAUAAUUUAAUUUUCUUAUUUACUUUUCAUAGUAUAACUUUUAUAGCUAUAAAUUUGAUGGAGACAUAUAUUAAAUGUGAAUUAUAUUUUUUACUAAGUAGGAAAAAGCUUUAAACAGUCUUUUAAAAGCACUACCACUUAAAAAAUUCAAAUGUUUAGUGUCCUUCAUUUGCUAGAAAAUGCACCUAUUUGCCUCUCUCUAAAUAAAUGUGUUUGAUAAUGUCAAAAGUUAAAAUGUACAAAAAAAAAUCAACUAUGCCAAAUGCUCAAAAUUCAAGAAAUAUGGAAUUAUACACUAAUUUAUACAAGUUAAAUUGUAAAGAACAAAAUAAUAAGGGGAAUUACAUUCUGCAACAUAUCAGCCUAGUCUUUUAAUGAGUUGAAAUGAGUAAAUAGACGAACCAAUGACUAGGCCAAACUUGGACGGAUUUGACGAAUCGUAUUACUAGAACCAAUGACUAGGCCAAACUUGGACGGAUUUGACGAAUCAUAUUUUCAUGAAUGUAACAUACAAGUUAGGACACAAAUGCAGGCCAUACACAAGUAAUUGAUCACCGAGGACUAUGAAUUUGUAACAUCAUCCGACUAUCCAAGCUCUGUUGUCCUGAGAAUUCUCCGUUAGACAUGAAGUUCGUGUUCAUAUUGAUCGCGUAAAGGUCCAAUGUUUGUUCUGUAAUUAAUCCAAGACUCUCCUCAUCUUGACAUUGUUGAGUUUUAGACCAUGGAUGUUUUGUGAACUUCCUUAGUCCUUCUAGCUCCAUGGCUACUUCUUUCAUCGUAGGCCUUUCUUCACUCGUUAACCUUAAACAUCUCUUCGCGAGCUCAGCAACACCUUGACAUUGCUCAAAACUUCCUUCUCGUAGCACACGUGAUUCAAGUACUUGAAACAAUCGAUUUUCCUUAAUAGACCUAACGAAAAAUGCAGCUAGAUUUCUCUCUUGUUCGGAUGCUGUAGUAUCUAGUGGCAUUCGCGCUGUUAAGAGCUCUGCAAGAACCACGCCAAAACUAUAAACGUCACUCUUUUCUGUCAAUUGACUUGUGUGGAAGUAUUCAGGAUCUAAGUAACCUAAAGUUCCUUGAACCAAUGUAGUCACUUGAGUUUGAUCCAAUGACACUAAUCUAGAAGCCCCGAAAUCUGAUAUUUUUGCAGUGUAACUCUCAUCGAGUAGAAUGUUUGUAGACUUCACAUCUCAAUGAAUUACAGGUGUAGAAGCUGCAGAAUGUAGAUAUGCGAGUGCACCAGCAGCUUCAGAUGCUAUUCUUAAUCGAUUUUCCCAUGAAAACCAACGCAUUUGAUCUCCACCAUCAUGAAUAUGGUAAUAGAGUGUACCUUUGGAAAUGUAUUCAUAGACUAGUAGAGGUACUUCAGACUCCAAACAACACCCCAAGAGUUUCACCACGUUUCGAUGAUUGACUUCUGAAAGAAUGAUCACUUCAUUGAUGAACAAUUCUAUUUGGAUGACGUCCAUUGUUCUAGACUUUUUAAUUGCAACUACACGUUUGUCCGGAAGGACACCUUUGUAAACUGUACCAUAACCACCUCGGCCUAGGAUACGAUCCUCAGCAUAGUUGUUGGUUGAUUUCUCGAGUUCUGCUGCUGUAAAGAUCUUAGCUGCAUACUGUAUACCACCCUCAUUUGAUCGGAGUUUCUGCGUGAGCAUCAAUCCACCAUUUUUCUGAAAAAACGUUUCCCUGAGUCUUAUGAGUCGUCAUCUUUUGAUGCCUAAGUAUAUCCAAGUUACACUGAUGACCAAAGCCAGAAAACCAAAGCACAAACCUGCAAUGAAAGUGCAACUUUAGUUUACUCUUAACCGUUUUCACUUUAUAUGAAGGUGUUUGACUGGACACACAGAGUAGAGUAGACGUACUGAUUGAGAGUUGAAGGAUGGGUGAUUUAGAGUUCUUAGGGAUGCAACCGUGGCCGUCCUUUUUUCCAUCACCAAUCUGACCAUGUGGACAAGUGCAGCUGUAGCCUCCAGGAAAGUUAUUGCAUAUUCCAUCACAAGGAUUCUCGUUCUCGCAUUCAUUUAUAUCUGUCAAUUAAUCAAACAUCAGAACGUAAAGAGGUUGUUUCUGAUAGACCCUCGGCUCAAAUGCAACACUAACCAACACAUAUAACAUCAUUCGAACAAAGUAACUUUGGCUCAAACCUUACUAAACAAGCACAAAUCGUAGAUUCCUAACCAAGUUACGACAAUUUCAAACUCGAACACAAAAAGUUCAAAUCAUGAAUUCAGUCUUACCUAUGCAACCUGGACUGAUAUAAGGGUUCCCCUGGUAUCCCGGUUUGCAGUUGCAACGAUAACCUCCGAGGCCUGUCUUAGAAUCUACACAAACACUAUUUUCUCCACAAGCAUAAUCUGCUGAUUUCUUAGCCACAGUGCAACUACCAUUGCCAAUAACCCAAUCAAUCACCACAGGGACUUCCUCUAUAACCUUGUUCCUGAAACUCGAAUUUGAUAAAUCCGAGCUCUUGAAAAUGAACUUAUCAGGCUCACCAAGAAACAAGUAGCCACAAGGGUUAAAAGAAGACACAUUUGUAUGGUUAUUCAAACUCCUUGUUAGACUCACAAAACUCUUCAAACCUGUUGGGAUUGAAGUCUGGCAACAUCCAAUUCCUGAGCAAUAUCCUUCAAUUAUAUCCUCUUUUUUCGCGCAUAGUGAAAUGCAUCCACUAGUAAAGUUCCUCCCUUCAUAGCCGAGAAUGAGAGCUAAGUCAUCGCAGCCAACUACCAUCAAACUAUUGAGAUCAGAGAAGGAGAAAGACGUCAAUCCCAAGCUAAAGUUUAUCGAGUCAUCAUUGAUCAAGACCCCUGCUUGAUCAUAACACCUACUCCCAACAUUGUUCUUAAAAUAAGAAAGGGCAAGAUAAAGAAAAAAUAAAUAAAUAACGGACAGGAUCACACCAAAUUGCAAGUUACAUAAAAUAACAGUUAUCGUCAUUACAAUAACAGAUUUAUAAUACAAAAACAUUAACAUACAAGAAAUUUGAAAAUUAAAGCAUCAAUUUUUUGCAAAAUCUAGUGAUGCUUUACCAGAAGGCCUCUUAAUAAAGCAAUGAUCCCAAUAAUUAGAGAACAAAAUAUGUUUGUACACUGGUUUUUCUCCAUCUUUUAGCAUUUGUGGGAAUGAACCAAUGACACUAUCAAAACUAGGAUUCACGCAUAGCGGUACAGAUAUUCGAGUCCUGCUCGAAUCAACUGCUACACAAUGCUCGAUACUCUUGUAUCGAUCAUUGCUCAUGAUCUGCAAUGAGUCACCUAUAUUAACCGCUAAGGCACCUUUGAUAGGAUUUACGUGAAUCCAGUUGCCUUUAGUCCCUCGGACAUAUAGGCCUCCUGUGUCGUCCUGGAGGAGCAAAGUUAUGCAGCCCAUGUCGCAGUGUCUACGAAAACCCAUGGCGAUACUUGGAUUUGGGCAUGGUGGAUAGUAGUUGAUGUUUAUAGACAUAGUUCCCAUCAAGAGAAGUUCUAAAGAUUCGUCAAUUUCAUUGACAUUGAGACCCUUCAAUAGCACCUCAAGCAAUUUUUUAGCAAGUGGUUUAACCCACUUUUGAUACUCCAAAACUUGGUUCCUAUAAAUCAAUAACAAACUCAGGAAUUUUAUUAAGAGCAUUAGUGUUUAAUGGGAAGGUCAAAUUUUUCUCUAAUAACGUUCAAGAUUCAAUGUCAAAGUUAAGAAUUUCACUAAGAAUAUUUCGUAAGUCUAUAAAAUCACAACCUCCUUAUGCUGCUAAGACAGAGGUAAAAUAUGCGUAUAUUCUACCCUCUCCAUACUCUACUUGUGAGAUUAUACUAGAUAUGUAAUCGUAUAAAAGAUAACUUUUCUCCUACAUAUACGAUAUACUUUUGAUUUAAGUUAUAAAAACCAUUAUAAAAUCUUGAUAUAAUUUUGUAUUCAACCACUUAAUCUAGUUAGUUUUUAAAUAUCUUUUGAUAAAUAGUUGGUGAUAGUUCAGAAACGUCAAGCACCUCCCAAAAAGUAAUACUACUUGAAAACCCGUGACCUAUUGAUUACACAGAGUAGAAAACCCCAAAAAGUUACCUUGUUUGAGGAGGCCAAAGAUUGCUAUCAUUUUUGUGGAUUACAACCAUGUUUUAUACUAUCCCUCCACUCCAAAACUUUCUCAUCUUUCUCACCAAUAGCACUCCAAAACAUAAACACAGAUUCACCAGGACUAACUUUUUCUUUAUGAUACUUAACUUUUUCUUCAGCUGGCAAUUCAAAGAAUUUGUGUGCCGCAUCCUUCAAAUCUUCAAGAACUUCAAUUGGGAUGCCAUGAUUGAUGAUUUGGAAGAAACCCCACUUGCUUGCUGCUUCUUGAAUUGACUUUUCAACAUUUAAAUCAUCAAAAUUUGAUAAAUCAAUUGUUGGGAUUGAUUCUUGAUUAUCAAUUUGGGACUUGUCUAGUCUUUGUUCUUUUGGUUGAAUGCAUUGAUUUGGGAUAAUUUCAAGGUUUGUGUCUACUAGGCCUUUUAGUCCAUUUGCUUUCUUGAUUACAAAAUCAAGUAUGUCAUCAUUUGGUUCAAAUUUUGAAGAAGACAUUUGUAUUGAAUCUUGAUGAGUGUGUACUACUGGGAG
rnacentral:lncRNA from 1 species